AACGAACGCUGGCGGCAUGCCUAACACAUGCAAGUCGAACGAUGCCUUCGGGCAUAGUGGCGCACGGGUGCGUAACGCGUGGGAAUCUGCCUUUCGGUUCGGAAUAACUCAGGGAAACUUGAGCUAAUACCGGAUAACGUCGCAAGACCAAAGAUUUAUCACCGUAAGAUGAGCCCGCGUAGGAUUAGCUAGUUGGUGAGGUAAAGGCUCACCAAGGCGAAGAUCCUUAGCUGGUCUGAGAGGAUGAUCAGCCACACUGGGACUGAGACACGGCCCAGACUCCUACGGGAGGCAGAAGUGGGGAAUAUUGGACAAUGGGCGAAAGCCUGAUCCAGCAAUGCCGCGUGAGUGAUGAAGGCCUUAGGGUUGUAAAGCUCUUUUACCCGGGAAGAUAAUGACGGUACCGGGAGAAUAAGCCCCGGCUAACUCCGUG
rnacentral:rRNA from 1 species